GUGUUUUAUUAAAACCUCGAUUAAUCUUGGAAUUUUUAUUUUUUGGUUUUGAGGUAUGGGUACUUACCUCUAACAUCUAAUCCUGCACUCAAAUAGUUACUGUUCUCACCCUGAGAAGAGUAAAUCAUUUAUUUUUGUAUAAUGAGGAAAAUCCAACUCUUAUACUUGGACCUUAUAUGUGUGGAUUUGGAAAAUACAUAAUUGUUCACAGAAGUGAAACUAGCCAGCAUGGACUACUCAAAAUCAAGAUCAUAGCCCUUCCAUAAUAUUUCUUUUCAUUCCAAGUUAAUAUCAAUAGAUAGAAAAAUGUGUGAUUCUUUGAAGCAUAAUCAAGUUAUAGUUCUUGAAAGUAUUUAAUUCGUUUAAAUGCUGUCAAAAUUUCAGAAACUGUAAAGCAUUGAUUUGUGUCUGAAAAGCUAAAUCUUUAAUUGGGGUCUUUAGAUGAUAAAUAUCAUUUGGAAUGUGUGAGUCCUGUGCUAUCAUGAUAUAUAUUUGCAUAUUUUGUUUUCUUUGUAGUUUUUGAAUGCUGGAAGUGAAAAGGAAGGGAAAAAGAGCAGCUUUUAAAUCUUUCCGUCAAAAAAAUCAGAUUGUUGGUUUCAUGAUCCAGUGUUUCCAUAGGAAUUCCAUUUAAACUCUUAUUAAUGAGAUCAAGUUUGAAGGCUAUAUAGAUUGAAGUUUGUGGCAUACACUGCAGAGUUGGUCAUCUUUCUGCCUGGUUCAGAUUGAUGAAACUUCAAACUUUCAGAUUGAGAAAUCUAUGAAUCAGAAGCCCUUCUGCCUAAUUUUCCACAGGCUCACAGUCUACUUCUGGCAGUCCCAGGGGAAGUGAGGUGUGUGCUGUUGGUGCCUCUUUACUAUGUUCCUAGGGAAAUUUUACUGUAAUAUUUUAAACUUGAUUUUUAUUUCUGACAUAGAGAAUUAUUUGGAUCUAAGUUAUGCAUAUACCUGUUCCACUUUGUUGAUUUUUCAUCUGAAGUCUUAAAGCUAUUGUUCCUGGGUUGGGGGACUUUGUGGGUUUUUUAAUUAACUUUUUAAAAGUCAAUUUUGUUUGUUAUUUUAAACGUUAUUUCAGAAGUCUUUGGAAAAGCCCCAAAGAGAGAUUUUCUUUGCAAGUGGGUUUUCAUUGUCAGAUAAGGACUACUUUCCUGUUUUUUCCCCCAGUACCUUACUAAACUUCAUCAUUUUCUUUUCAUAACUGUUCACCUGGACUACAGCAAUAGAUUAUCCUUAGUUAUCUGACCUCUUGUUUCAAUUCCCCUGAAGUUCUGUGCCAGUAAUGUUCCUAACAACACAUAUUGUCCUGUUCUCUGAUGCUUAAAAUAAUAUUAUCACCCUGAGCUUUAUCCUCACCUGAUUAACGUAAAGAACAGUGGUUUGAGAACUGGGAGAUCUGAGUUCUAAUCCUGGCUUUCCUGCUAACUAGCUGCUUGUCCUUUGACAAAUGUCUUCAUGUCUGCUUUUUAGCACUCUGGCCUGUUAAAUGAAGGCCUUGGCCCAAGAUUCAAUCCAGUUCUCUGGUUCUGUAAUUUGAAUUCUUGGUUCUGAAAGACUGAUUUUGCCACCCCUGCCGCUUGGAAAAUUGGUUUCCCUUAUUAUGAUGUACACAGUAUUUCCUUUCCUAGAUCAUUUUUACCUAGUUUUUGUUCAAGAAAAUAUUUGAGUCCCACUUAUUGGUUGUAGAAAGUAGUUCAGAGACUUUCCGGAAAGAAAUUAGAGGUUAUGUUAGUAGAAACACGUUUGUCUAAGAACAAGGGAUCUUAGAAAUCACAGCCAGUGUUUAGAUGAUGACAUUCCUCCUUAAGCUAAUAGUAGUGUAAUUCCUUACCAGUGGUGAAAAAUUUUAAGUGAACUGAUCUUGAGAGGAAAGCUAUACAAGAAAAUUCUAAACUAUUGUUUCAUUCACGUAUAUUGAGCAACAGCUGUUCUCCAGAUUUGGUCCUAGGCAUUAGUCAAACAGACAAAGUCGACUUAACCAUCCUCGUCUUCAUGGAGCUUAUAUUCUAGUAGAAGAAAUCAGGCAAUAAAUAUAAUACAUAAUUUAUGUUAGAAAGUUUUAAACAGUAUGAAGAAAAUUUAAGAGUGUGCUAAGGAAAAUGUUUCCUUUGUUUUUAGAGAGAGAAUAAAAUUUCAAAGACCGAUCAAGGUAGGCCUUCUUGGAAAGGUUACAUUUGUGCAAACAUGUCAUAUUCCUUUGUCUUUUCUUUCUUUCUUUUUUUUUUUUUUUACUUUUUAUCUUUAAAAUUUGAAACAUGCACAGUGUUUAAUGAGUGCUCUUGGACCCAUUACCCAGCCUCUACAUUUUUUUUUUUUUAAAUAUAUAUUUAUUUAUUUGGUUGCACUGAGUCUUAGUUGAGGCAUGUGGGAUCUAGUUCCCUGACCAGGGAUCGAACCUGGGCCCCCUGCAUUGGGAGCCCAGAGUUUUAGCUACUGGACUACCAGGGAAGUCCCCCAGCCUCUACAUUUUAAGGCCUUACUUUAAUAAAGGAAGAGGAAAUGAAAAAGGACAAUCACUUAAUGGUAAGGUCAAGAUGGCAGUGGCAGAGAAGAAUCUCAUUUUUUUCAAUGUCCUGCCCCCCCUUUAUGAAUAUUAAAAUGGCAAAUCCUUUAUUUAUUUUUAGAAUUCAUAGAAAUUUAAAUUUUGGAAUGAAAAACAAAGCAAAGCAAUGGGAAAGAACACUUUUUUUGCUUUCAAAUCAUACAAACUCCCCUCCUGGAGAUUCUGAUACAGACUCUCACCUCACUUAAG
ensembl:lncRNA